GCCAUAGUGAUUUUCGUCGAAUUUCGCCAGAAAACCGAGACUACUUUACUAUACUGUUUGUGUGUACUAUUUCAAUAUAUGUAUUUCACAAUGUUGUUUGCGGGAUGAGGGUGUUUUUUAGCUGUGCGAACCCCUACGGGACCCAAAAAGAAGUCAAGGUUUCGUAUAUGCACGAUGCAAAUAUCAAGAAUGUGCUUUUUGGGAAUCUCAUCCCCUUCUCCCGCUGUUUAAACACAUUCAAAUUGAACGGCACGGGAAAAAACCAGAAAAGUUAUUUUUUUCAAUCCGAAAAAAACAUGUUUAUAAUUCCAAAACGUAGCUUUUUUUUUUUACCUAUUAAAAAGUCCG